rnacentral:rRNA from 1 species
GUUUAUCAAAAACAUCGCCUCUUGAAUCACUAUAAGAGGUCCAGCCUGCCCAGUGACCCUGUUCAACGGCCGCGGUAUCCUAACCGUGCGAAGGUAGCGUAAUCACUUGUUCUCUAAAUGUGGACUAGUAUGAAUGGCAUCACGAAGGUUAUACUGUCUCCUUUUUCUAAUCAGUGAAACUAAUCUCCCCGUGAAGAAGCGGGGAUAGUACUAUAAGACGAGAAGACCCUAUGGAGCUUUAAACAACGCAGCAUCUGCCCCACAAUACUAGAAUUUCUGAAUUAAAACUUCCCUGGGCAGUAUGACUGCAAGUUUUUGGUUGGGGUGACCACGGAGCAUAAUAUAACCUCCAUGCUGAAAGAAUCUUUCUAAGCUAAGAACCACAAAUCCAAGCAUCAAUAAAUUGACAUCCAUUGACCCAAUACACUUGAACAACGAACCAAGUUACCCUAGGGAUAACAGCGCAAUCCACUUCAAAAGCUCCUAUCGACAAGUGGGUUUACGACCUCGAUGUUGGAUCAGGGUCUCCCAGUGGUGCAGCCGCUACUAAAGGUUGUUUUGUUCAACGAUUAAAACCCUA